GUGAAAUCCCGCUGCUCCAUCGGCGGAAGCUGCAUCUAAAAGUGCGUCUGAAGAGUGUCAGAAGAGAAAAGUGGAUUUCCUAGUGUAGCGAUGAAAUGCGUAGAUAUGAGGAGGAACAGCGGUGGAGAAGGCGUUUUUUGGUCGAUAACUGACGCUGAGACGCGAAAGCGUGGGGAGCACACAGGAUUAGAUACCCGUGGUAGUCCACGCCGUAAGACGAUGAAUACUAGGUGUAGGGGGUAUCGACUCCCCCCUGUGCCGCAGCUAACGCAUUAAGUAUUCCACGAGGAGUAGUACGGUCGCAAGACUGAAACUCAAAGGAAUUGGCGGGGACCCGCACAAGCAGUGGCGUAUGUGGUUUAAUUAGAGGCAACGCGAAGAACCUUCCCAAGGCUUGACAUCCCGCGACAAACGUGGAAACAAGUCUUCCCCUUCGGAGGCGCGGAGACAGGUGGUGCAUGGUUGUCAUCAGCUCGUGUCGUGAGAUGUUGGGUUAAGUCCCGCAACGAGCGCAACCCUUGCUGCCAGUCGCCAUCAUUAAGUUGGGCAUUCUGGCGGGACUGCCGGUGCCAAAUGGGAGGAAGGUGGGGAUGACGUCAAAUCAUCAUGCCCUUUAUGUCUUGGGUUCCACACGUACUACAAUGGUCGUUACAGAAGGAAGGGAAGCCGCGAGGCGGAGCGAAUCCCCAAAGGCGGCCCCAGUUCGGAUUGCAGGCUGCAACUUGCCUGCAUGAAGUCGGAAUUGCUAGUAAUUGCAGGUCAGCAUACUGCAGUGAAUACGUUCCCGGGUCUUGUACACACCGCCCGUCACACCAUGAGAGUUUGUAACACCCGAAGUCGGUUGGCUAACCGUAAGGAGGCAGCCGC
rnacentral:rRNA from 1 species